ACAAAACUUAUUAUAUUAGAUUAAAAAUGAUGCCAUCAUAAUAAAAACAAACAAACAUGCCAACACCUUUCCAAUAAUACAGCUGAGAUGCUUAAUACUUUUUCAUAAUUAAAGGCAGAAAGUGACAAUCUUAGUGAGUCAUCAAAUAUAAACUCAACACCUAAUUCUCUCUCUACAUGUUAAAACACAGACAAGUACAUGCAUGCAUCAAAACAAUGACCAGGUUCAUUGAACCCAAUGCAGAUAGAUAUCUUUAAUGAACUGCUAAUAUUUCAAAAAAAAAUGGCACCUAAAUUUCUGAUGUGAAGAAAGAGAAAGGUUCAUUUUAUCUGAAAGUAUUUUUUCCAUGAUUAUUGGCGAUGAAGCAACUCAAGGCAAGGAAUAUUGGGUGCAACAUUUAUUAUAUGAAAAAUAAAUGAGAAAGUGGUGUCCAAUUAAUGUUGGGAGAAGUCCCUGCAUUUGAAGAGUUGAGAAGUUACAAUAUAACUAUAUGUAUUCUUGGGUUCCCCUUCAAACUUCACUUUUAUGUAUGUAUGUUUAUUUAUGAGUUCGAGUUCAACCUUUUCAUGUUGUGUUAUGUAAUUUGUAGUGGGGUACAUGUAAUAUUUCUUUGUUGUUUGGGAGGGUGUUUGGCUAAGCUUAUCAGAGCAUAUAAGCAAUAUCAGUGUCAAAAAGAAAAGUUAAAUAAUAUCGAGAAAAUGCGUUGA